rnacentral:rRNA from 1 species
AAGACGGUCUUGCUGUCACUUAUAGAUGGAUCCGCGCUGCAUUAGCUAGUUGGUAAGGUAACGGCUUACCAAGGCAACGAUGCAUAGCCGACCUGAGAGGGUGAUCGGCCACACUGGAACUGAGACACGGUCCAGACUCCUACGGGAGGCAGCAGUAGGGAAUCUUCCGCAAUGGGCGAAAGCCUGACGGAGCAACGCCGCGUGAGUGAUGAAGGUCUUCGGAUCGUAAAACUCUGUUAUUAGGGAAGAACAUAUGUGUAAGUAACUGUGCACAUCUUGACGGUACCUAAUCAGAAAGCCACGGCUAACUACGUGCCAGCAGCCGCGGUAAUACGUAGGUGGCAAGCGUUAUCCGGAAUUAUUGGGCGUAAAGCGCGCGUAGGCGGUUUUUUAAGUCUGAUGUGAAAGCCCACGGCUCAACCGUGGAGGGUCAUUGGAAACUGGAAAACUUGAGUGCAGAAGAGGAAAGUGGAAUUCCAUGUGUAGCGGUGAAAUGCGCAGAGAUAUGGAGGAACACCAGUGGCGAAGGCGACUUUCUGGUCUGUAACUGACGCUGAUGUGCGAAAGCGUGGGGAUCAAACAGGAUUAGAUAC